CCUACGGGUGGCAGCAGUGAGGAAUAUUGGUCAAUGGCCGUAAGGCUGAACCAGCCAAGCAGCGUGAGGGAAGACUGCUCUAUGGGUUGUAAACCUCUUUUAUGCGGGGAUAAAGGUGUCCACGUGUGGAUGUUUGCAGGUACCGCAUGAAUAAGGACCGGCGAAUUCCGUGCCAGCAGCCGCGGUAAUACGGAGGGUCCGGGCGUUAUCCGGAUUUAUUGGGUUUAAAGGGAGCGUAGGCCGGUCUUUAAGCGUGCCGUGAAAUUUUGUGGCUCAACCAUGGGAGUGCGGCGCGAACUGGAUGCCUUGAGUGCGCGAGAGGCAGGCGGAAUUCGUGGUGUAGCGGUGAAAUGCUUAGAUAUCACGAAGAACCCCGAUGGCGAAGGCAGCCUGCCGCAGCGUUACUGAUGCUGAGGCUCGAAAGCGCGGGUAGCGAACAGGAUUAGAUACCCCGGUAGUC
rnacentral:rRNA from 1 species